rnacentral:lncRNA from 1 species
CGCUUCUGUUUUGUCAUUAAAUCUUUCUUUUCCUGGUUCUCUUGCUCUUCAACCUUUUGCAAAAAGAAUUGAGCCCAAAGUUGUCGGAUGUGAUCAAUUGACUCUUUUUCAUAUGAUAGGUGUCUGUGAAUAUCUGCAAGUUCAAACAUAUAUAAAAUUAAGACAACUACAAUGUUAAAACAAUAAUUUACAUGUUUUUCAUUAAAUAUAUGUAAUAUAAAAUACCUCAUUGAAUCUUUCAACAAUACAAGCAUCAAUAAUGUCAAACAUAUUUUUCAUGACAUAAUAUCCACAUGCCCAUCCGUUAUCUUGUUGAU